GUCCUUUUCCAUUUAAUUUAGAAACGGUGUUGUGUCCAGUAGUCGAUUACAAUUUCAGAUAGAGUUGUGUCACGCGUUAAAUGUAAAGUCAAUGCAUUUGCCACCUUUUAUUAUACGUACUGAACGGCAAUAGUGCCAUUUCCAGAACGGCAGAAGUUGAGAGAGGAAAGUGGAGUCAUUAUUGAGACAGCAUAGCGAGCAGGAAGUUAUUUGCCAAGGUGACCUUGAAGCAUUCAUCAAAGACACCUGAUGAAGCACUACCCAUCGGAUAAGAGUAUAUCCCUCCCAUUGUCUCUCUGUUGGAUGUAAGACAGUGGCUGUGUGAGAUUCUGAAGUACACCCAGCCCACACAUCUGUCUGUCCCCUAUCUCUCAGU